rnacentral:rRNA from 1 species
GGGUCAGUAGGUUGGUCGUGCCACCGGUACGUACUGGUCUCACUGAUUCCUCAUUCCUGAAUAACCGUAAUUCCAUUAAUUUGGUGUUGCGGGGAAACAGGACUGUUACUUUGAAAAAAUUAGAGUGUUUAAAGCAAGCUAACGCUUGAAUACAUUAGCAUGGAAUAAUGAAAUAGGACGAUCGAUCCUAUUUUGUUGGUUUCUAGGAUUGACGUA